AUUAAAGGAAAAAACAUUAAACCCUGACGACGGAAUCAUAACACAUUAUGAGAGAAGCCCAUUGUGAGUCAGUCUGGAUGCGACGAAGUUGUAGUUUUAAUGGUAUCAUGAAAAUGGCCACGUUAUGCUCACGUAUGUUGUUUCGUGACAAAGAAAUGUCAUGGGACAGCAUCGCACUGUACUUCAACCGCCACCUACACCAGUUUCGCUCCGGCUCGUUAAAGGAAUCGAUCAGUCUGCAACGAUCAAUCAAGAUCACGUAGUCCGGCACGUCAGCAAAUCUUUUCGGCGUUGUGAAACGAAGCGAAAGGACCUCCCCGUUCUGACGACGAAGAAGGCUUGAUUAAUGAGACAGUCGUCGGGGGACAAGGGACAACGCGGCAACUGCCGGGAUAAAUAGACGACGAUAAAAAUGGAGUAGUAAUUAAUUUCGGACAGCAGCAGUGAAGGGAAAAUCGUCACCCUGGUUGAUGAUACCAUCGUGCUCGAGGACGCUCGAGACCUUAUGAAGGAAAGCUUAAC
rnacentral:misc_RNA from 1 species